UCUCUGAGGAAGAAGCCUGAUAUUAACAUCAAAGGUGCAAUUAACAGUGCAAUGAAGACAAUAACCAGUUCUUUUGAAGGCAUGUCUAAUCAAGGUGCACCUCGGUGGGUUGAACCCAAGACUAAUGUGCAAAGUGGAGGGUUUGAGUGCGGAUAUUAUGUCAUGCACUGGAUGUGGUGCAUCGUGACUGC